AUCUUUUCCUGGAGGUUGCUCCUUGUGGAGUUUUUGUAAGCCUACGACACUGUGAAGUGAUGUAGGGCAGCCAUCAGAUAUCCUGGACUCCUGGAACCACGUGGCAGAUUGUGCCCAGCUCUGAAAAAGGAACAAGGGUUUUUUUUUUUCCAGUGAAGGAUUUCCUAAAGUAGCAGCAGGUCUAACUUGAUUAAAAACAAUUAAGAGUUUUUCUUUAAUUGAUCCACCUCAAGACAAUUAUGCUGGCUCAUGUUAAUGUGCUAAAUACACUGAGGUCAGUUUAACUUUGUAUAUAGCGAUUAAAUAGAAAAGUCUACGUUAAAAGACAUUGAUUUGUUGAUCUGAUACAGACUGAGAGUGCGGGAAGAUGCCGAAGCAGAAUCACAGUCCAUUUGCUUUGUCCUGCCUUGUUCUUGAAAUAGGUUUAUGUGGCACUAGUGCAGGUACUACAGAAACUCACAGAGGCAUUGCAAAACCAGGGCAGAAACAGGAGCAUGAACUCUUUUUCCUUUAUUUUUGUAAAAGAUCAGAUCAGAGAAAACAUUUUAAAAGCAACUUUUGUUGUUUUCUUUUAGACUUUUUUUUUACUCUUACUAUACACCAUUCAUUCCUGUCUUCCCCUCUGCCUUUCUCUGCCUUGGUUCCUGGGGGGUUGAAAAAGCUGCUGCUGCCAAAACCUUCAAUGAAGAGGAUGCAGAACAGUUCUCACAGCCUUCCAGGUGGCAUGGGAAAGUGGAAAGAAACAAAAGAAAGCACAAUUUCAAAAGUCUAGUCAGAAAUAAAAGGGCUUGGAUGCCUGAGCGACCUUCCUGGCUCCCGGUCUCCUAAGCUGUCUACACCUUCCCACUCGUGUUUGCCAGAAGCUCUGUUGUUCUUGCUACAGUUUGGCAUCUCUUUUCAUUUGGGUACAAGGACCACCACUGAGACUGCCUGUGUACUCUCACAGAACAGAACUGUGUGAUGCUGUAGGAUUUUGAGCAUGGGCCUGUUGGACUUUGCCUUGCACCACUUUAAAGCCUGAGAUAGAUUUCUGUGUUAGAAAUAAAAUAACCAAUUUUUGCAUUUCUACCU
rnacentral:lncRNA from 1 species